ensembl:lncRNA
CUUUUGCCCAGAUGGCCUCAGCUCCUGCAGCUAUGGCAACACCACCACUAAAUGCUGGCUCUCUUACCAUGAGGCCUGAAUACAGGAUCCCGGUUUGUGGUGGAAGGAGGGAAGAACCUGGUACUGAAACGGCAAAAUCCACCUGUUACUCGUAUUUUAGACAAUCUCAUGGAGAGGAAGUCAAACUCUAAAACUGAUGACUACAGAUAUUUUAAGCCCAAAAUGCUGCAGGGCAAAGACGGCUCAGUUCCAAGGAAUCCAUGCCAAGAGGCAGUUGCUUGGGAGGAGGCAACUACAUUGAUGGCAACAUCUUGUUGACCAAUAACGGGGAGACAGGCAAACACAUUGUAUACAGCUGCGGGGAACUUCUUAAUGUGCCACAGCUCAUAAAACAGUUGUCACAACUUGGAGAAAAAGGAGAGGCUGCAGUCUGAUCAGCCGGGAGAGCCCCCGACACGGCUGUCCACGGUCCCUGGACCUGGAUCCCUGCCCCUGCAGUUCUAAGUCACAGGUCCUGUCAUUUAGUGCAGCCCGACCCCGUGCACCUGCCGCCCUCUGCGUUAGGCUCCUGAUCCCCUCCUGGCAGGUCACUCUUUGAUUCCUAUUCAGCUUUCAUGAGUCCCUCUAACCGUGCUGGUGACAAGUACAGAUUAAUUUCUCGGCCUGACUUGGAUGGUUUUCAUCUUCGAUUCCUCUGUAUCCCCAGGGCAGCUCCAGGCAUGUUGGUGUCUUAAUUCAUCAUCUGUGAUUUUACAAAGCGAUCGCCCAGCGUGGGGACACUUCCACGUCACACAUCUCACUGCACAGGCCACACCCAGGCCAGGCAGGACCAGAGUUCAGAGCUGCUUUCUAGGGGCCAUCGUCACGGACACCAAGGGGCAGGCCCAUGUCUCCUCACAGACGUGCAGUCGGUCUGUCUGCAGUCAAAUGGAAGUGGCUGCACUCACUGUGGGCACAGGGGCCUGUAGGUGCACAUCUUCUGUGUUGACUGUUGCUCAUUCCCUCUGCUUCCAAAACCAAAAGGCCGAUUUUGCUUUGGGAAACCACAUCUUCCCCCCUUUAGUUCUCACAAACCUCAGGAAUUGGUUCCUCCGUGACCCAGGCAUUUUACAAAGGGCUGAGCCAGUCAGAUCUUCAUACUCCCCUGGAGAAAGGCAGAGGGAGUGACUUGCAGGGUGAGAGCAUUUCCAAAGUCAGAGCAACUGCAGCCAGCGAAACACAGCCCUGAGUCACUGUGCUGGGCCAUCUGGGGGCAGAUAAAAUACACUCAGUGUAUGUGACUUCCCCAAAUUCAGAUAACCCCCACGUGACCUGGGUUGGGGAAGCCCGUCCCUCCCAGGCUGACUCUCCUCUCAGCUAGAAGCCGGGCGCAGGUGUGCUCCUGAACAUCCAUUUCCAGGCUCAGAGCGCUGGCCACCUGGCUGGGGGCCCCUUCUCACCUGGGCUGAGUGCUCUCAGCUGUUCCUGAGCAUCUCUCUGGCUCGGCAGCCUGAGGCCUCAGAAAAUGUCCCCAGAGAGGAUGGAUGGAACUUUCCACGGAGUGCUGAGUUAAACCCACCCUGGUGCAGACUUCCUUGUGUUCACAGGGGCUGCCGACUCUCUGGGAGAGACCAGGGGAAAGAGCGCGAGUGGACGGAGCCUGUGUAAGGGACUAACUUGGGAACUAAUUCAUCCUGUGAGCACACUCCGUCUCGCCUGCUCAUCCUGCAUCCUGCUCUUCUCCCAUCUCUCUCACACCAGCCUCCCCUCUGGUCUCCUUGGGUCUGAUGAUUCUCCGCCCACACGGUCAGGAACGCAGGCACGUAUCAACCUCCAGGUGAUGUUCCCUGUUAUCCCUCAGCACUGAUGAGGGAGGAAUGACUUCGUCCGUUCGUUAUUCAAGUGCUGUAAAAGUUUGACCCCGCACUGAAAGAGCAGCAACAAGACACCAGCAGCAAAGACGGUCACGUGGAAGGCCCAUCACGGGUCCAUGUUCUCUGUGCACAUCCACCUCAGCCUCCCUGGAUUCGCCUUUUAAACAACUGUGGACUCCCCUGGGAGGGAUCAUCACGUCGUGGAGAGCUGUGCAGGGCCUGGAGUCAGACAGCCGGGGUGGAGCCCCGUCCACACCCUCACAUCUGUGUGGCCUUAUAAAGUCACUUCAUCUCUCUUAGCUUCAAUCUCCUCAUCUCUGAACUUGGAAGCAUGAAAGCACACACCACCCAGAGCAGAUCAGAUGAGUCAGUAGACGUACGGAGUCAGCACUGAGCCUGGAAGGAGACAUUGUUCCCCAAGACGAUGGCUGUGGUGGCUCCUGACUAUUUACAAAGAUCUAACAUGACUGAUGUUUAGUCAGACCUGAAAGAAAGGGGGACAGACGGGGCAAUUCCUGCUGAGCAAUGAUAGUCUCCACAUCUCAGGAACCUCCUGUGCGCCAAGCUCUGUGUUAGCUGCAGUUGUGAUCGGUCACUUAAUCCUCGCAGUAGCCCACUAGACAUGGACUACGAUCGUCCCCAUUUUACAGAGGACGGAAACGAGGCUCAGAAGGCGUAAAGCUCUUGCCCAAGGCCGUGGCUGGGAAGUGGCGGAGCCAGUAUUGGAGUCAAGGACAGGAGGAAUCUGAAGUCCUCGCUCUUCUUCUCCAUGCCAUGUUUUCUCUGUUUCAUUCAUAAUUAAAGAGAAAAAGUCAAUCCUCAACUCUCUGUAGCACAGUACAAACAGCACAGCAGGAAGCUUUUCCCUUUAACCCAGAGUUUGCUGAACUAGGCUGGGUCAAAGCUACUUUUUAGUUCCUUUUUCCCUUUGUUUUCCAGUUUAAUGUCUAUUGACCUACUCGUAAUUACUUAUUCUGUUCUUAGCUGUGUGUCAAGUUUACAGAUGAAUCUGUGACAAGUUUCUGCAUCUGUUACUAUGAUUCGUUUUCUUUUACAUUAGCAUUACAGUUCCCAUCUUUCUGUUGAAAUUUGUUAUUUGUUCAUGCAUAUUCUCCAGAUUUUCCAUUAGAGGCUUUAGCGUAUUAGUCAGAGUUGUUUUAAUUUCACUGACUGGUAGUUCCAACGUCCGUGUCAUAUCUGAAUCUGGUUGUGUUGCUUGUCUUCUCU